UUGAACGCUGGCGGCAGGCCUAACACAUGCAAGUCGAGCGGAUGAGGGGAGCUUGCUCCUGGAUUCAGCGGCGGACGGGUGAGUAAUGCCUAGGAAUCUGCCUGGCAGUGGGGGAUAACGUCCGGAAACGGGCGCUAAUACCGCAUACGUCCUGAGGGAGAAAGUGGGGGAUCUUCGGAACUCACGCUAUCAGAUGAGCCUAGGUCGGAUUAGCUAGUUGGUGGGGUAAAGGCCUACCAAGGCGACGAUCCGUAACUGGUCUGAGAGGAUGAUCAGUCACACUGGAACUGAGACACGGUCCAGACUCCUACGGGAGGCAGCAGUGUGGAAUAUUGGACAAUGGGCGAAAGCCUGAUCCAGCCAUGCCGCGUGUGUGAAGAAGGUCUUCGGAUUGUAAAGCACUUUAAGUUGGGAGGAAGGGCAGUAAGUUAAUACCUUGCUGUUUUGACGUUACCAACAGAAGAAGCACCGGCUAACUUCGUG
rnacentral:rRNA from 1 species